rnacentral:tRNA from 3 species
GGGGGUAUAACUCAGCGGUAGAGUGGAUCAUUCUAAAUGAUUAUGUCGUCAGUUCAAAUCUGUCUACCUCCA